AGCGAACGCUGGCGGCGUGCCUAACACAUGCAAGUCGAACGUGAACGGGGGCAACCCCUAGUAAAGUGGCGUACGGGUGAGUAACGCGUAGGUAAUCUACCCCAGAGUCUGGAAUAACCUGCCGAAAGGCGGGCUAAUACUGGAUAGAGCGACGGAAUCCGUAAUUGGGUUUUUCGGGAAAGGGAGCCCGCAAGGGCCUUCGCUCUGGGAUGAGCCUGCGUCCCAUCAGCUUGUUGGUGAGGUAAAAGCUUACCAAGGCAAUGACGGGUAGCUGGUCUGAGAGGAUGAUCAGCCACACUGGAACUGAAACACGGUCCAGACUCCUACGGGAGGCAGCAGUGGGGAAUCUUGCGCAAUGGACGAAAGUCUGACGCAGCCACGCCGCGUGAGUGAAGAAGGCCUUCGGGUUGUAAAGCUCUGUCACUCGGGACGAACACCAUCGGAGUUAACAGCUCCGGUGGCUGACGGUACCGAGGGAGGAAGCACCGGCUAACUCCGUGCCAGCAGCCGCAGUAAGAC
rnacentral:rRNA from 1 species